CUCUCUCUCUCUCUCUCUCUCUCUCUCUCCCCAUCCCUCUCCUCUCUUUCUCCCCUCCCUCCCCUCUCCAUCUCUCCUCCUCCCCUACCCCUUCCCUUUCCCUCACCUGCCCUGUUGCUACAUACCUGAGUGAAUGUUACCGGUAGUUCAGCAUCUCUCUCUCUCUCUCUCUCUCUCUCUCUCUCUCUCUCUCUCUCUCUCUCUCUCUCUCUCUCUCUCUCUCUCUCUCUCUCUCUCUCUCUCUCUCAUUGCAAUUGUUACGUUAGAAGUGUCAUGCAAACCCACUACGCAUUUCUCUGUGUGUGUGUGUGUGUGUGUGUGUGUGUGUGUGUGUGUGUGUGUGUGUGUGUGUGUGUGUGUGUGUGUGUGUGUGUGUGUGUGUGUGUGUGUGUGUGUGUGUGUGUGUGUGUGUGUGUAGACAAAGGUGACCAAGCUGGCUACUGGACCACCUCAUGCAGGGAAGCAGGAGGGCCACUACAAUGCUACAGCUGCACAACUCAGAGGGAGCACAAACUUUCCAACUGACAAUCCUUUUCUAUUUGAGGCAAAUAAUGAGGUAUGGUAUCUUGAGAGAGAGAGAGAGAGAGAGAGAGAGAGAGGUAUCAGGGAAUAUAUUGGUACUUUUAACUGUUAACUGUGAGUCUCUGGGAGCAUAAUUUUUGUUAUAAAGUUUAUUCAGUGUUUUUAAAAACUAGUAGAAACAUGUACAUCAGUUGUUGUUAUUUCAUAAAUGUAAAAAAAUGAUAAGAUGAUAUCCUUCAGCAUUUUAACCUGUUAGUGGUGACAGCAAUCCCAGAUCACUAUUGUGUUUGUUUCCAUGGACCAGUGGUGGGCGGCACCAGUGUCUGUAAGGGAGGAGGGAGGGUGGGAGUCUGUGGGUCAGUCCUCAGUGGAGUGAUGGUGUGGAUGGGUGAGGGAGUUGAGGGCUUAUUCUGCCACUGCCAUUUUGGGUCCAAAGUAACCUACAUUUUAAUUAAUACAUAUCUAAACAUAGUAGAUAAGCCUUAACAGAGACCAGUGAACCAGUAGAACAAUGCCUAUUCACCAGUAACAAUGCGCACCACCACACCAGUCCCCAGAAUGGCAUGGGGGAUGGCCACCUUGUCUGGGCCUCCAGAUGGCUCCCUCACACCUGCAGAUGAAAAACUAGAAUGAGAACAUCACCAGGAUCUAUUUUUGCACUGUUGUUAUUAUUACUAACGUUUAUUUUCUUGAACCAAGGACCAUGUUUCACUAACAGGGAAUGCCUUGCCACAAAGGAGAGUGUCACUGAGUGGGUUGUAUGUUCCUCUCACCAGCCUGCCUGUGUGACAUGGCAUGGUGGUGUGUGGUAGUGUGUGGUGUGUGGCUGGCAGCAGGUGUUAGUCAAACAUGUAGCCUUGGCAAGCAAUCCAUCAUGUUCUUAUAAGCCAAUCUUGCUCUUCUAAGUGUUAAUUUGGGCUUAAUUCUGUCUGGCCACUUUUUAUGAUGGACAGUAUCUAAUUUUGUUGGUACAAGAACAUACAUUUCUGAAGGUUUUGUAAAGUGUUUAUGUUAUUUUCAUUAUUAUUAUUAUUAUUAUUAUUAUUAUUAUUAUUAUUAUUAUUAUUAUUAUUAUUAUUAUUAUUAUUAUUAUUGCUGUUGUUACUACUACUACUACUACUACUAUCAUUAUCAACAUCAUUGCCAUCAUCAUUACUACUAUUACUGCUAUUAUUUUUGUGCAUAUUUUAAGAGGCACAUCUGAUGAAUAAUAAGUAUUUGGAUGAGUCCAUAUGACAAAAUGGAGAGUGUGUUUGAAGUUGUGUUGAAAUAUAUGUAGAAUUUAUUUGAUCAGAUUCUUCUUUCUUGAGCAUCAAUAAUUGUUACAUGUGUGUGUGUGUGUGUGUGUGUGUGUGUGUGUGUGUGUGUGUGUGUGUGUGUGUGUGUGUGUGUGUGUGUGUGUGCUUUGUAUUGUUUGUUACCUUAUAUGCAGCUGUGUGUGUGUGUGUGUGUGUGUGUGUGUGUGUGUGUGUGUGUGUGUGUAUGUGUACGUGCGCAUGAGCUCACACGUACGUUACUUUGUGCAAUCUAUAGUUUUAUUUUUAUUUAUACGAAGAGUCACAUUGCUGGUAAAUUUACGAUUUUUCCUUCUGAGUGACGAGCUGCUUGUAUUCCGUUACCAUGGACAGCUGCAUUGAACAGUAGUCAGACUCCUGCAGCCUACUGAAAACUUUUAUAAAUUAGUUGAAAUAUUUAGAUAUCUGCAUUUGAUUGUUGUAUGAAUCUGUAUAUAUGUAUAUUAAAAAUCCUUAUCA
rnacentral:lncRNA from 1 species